rnacentral:rRNA from 1 species
AUUGAACGCUGGCGGCAUGCCUUACACAUGCAAGUCGAACGGCAGCACGGGUGCUUGCACCUGGUGGCGAGUGGCGGACGGGUGCGUAAUACAUCGGCACAUGUCCUGUAGUGGGGGAUAGCCCGGCGAAAGCCGGAUUAAUACCGCAUACGAUCUACGGAUGAAAGCGGGGGCCCUUCGGGCCUCGCGCUAUAGGGUUGGCCGAUGGCUGAUUAGCUUGUUGGUGGGGUAAAGGCCUACCAAGGCGACGAUCAGUAGCUGGUCUGAGAGGACGACCAGCCACACUGGGACUGAGACACGGCCCAGACUCCUACGGGAGGCAGCAGUGGGGAAUUUUGGACAAUGGGCGAAAGCCUGAUCCAGCAAUGCCGCGUGUGUGAAGAAGGCCUUCGGGUUGUAAAGCACUUUUGUCCGGAAAGAAAUCCUUGGCCCUAAUACGGUCGGGGGAUGACGGUACCGGAAGAAUAAGCACCGGCUAACUACGUG